GACGAACGCUGGCGGCGUGCUUAACACAUGCAAGUCGAACGGUAAGGCCCUUCGGGGUACACGAGUGGCGAACGGGUGAGUAACACGUGGGUGAUCUGCCCUGCACUUCGGGAUAAGCCUGGGAAACUGGGUCUAAUACCGGAUAGGACUCCUGGCUUCAUGGUCGGGGGUGGAAAGCUUUUGCGGUGUGGGAUGGGACCGCGGCCUAUCAGCUUGUUGGUGGGGUAAUGGCCUACCAAGGCGACGACGGGUAGCCGGCCUGAGAGGGUGACCGGGCACCCUGGGACUGAGAUACGGCCCAGACUCCUACGGGAGGCAGCAGUGGGGAAUAUUGCACAAUGGGCGCAAGCCUGAUGCAGCGACGCCGCGUGAGGGAUGACGGCCUUCGGGUUGUAAACCUCUUUCAGCUAUGACGAAGCGCAAGUGACGGUAGUAGCAGAAGAAGGACCGGCCAACUACGUGCCAGCAGCCGCGGUAAAAC
rnacentral:rRNA from 1 species